CCCGAGUCAGGCAGUGGAUGCUGCAGAACUUUGUUUAAAGAAAAACUACGCGAGGAAGAAACAUGACGGCAGUUCAGGAGCAAUCGGGAGUGAAAAAGGUCACACGGAAAAAAAAAAAAAAAAAAAAAAAAAAAAAAGCAACUUAGCCCUUUGGGGUCUGGACUCUAAAUUUAAUUAAAGGGAAGGUUUUCAGCCGGCUGCUUCCCCGCCCUCCCCCGGACCCGUCCUGCCCGAGGACCGACAAGGGCUGCCCCAACCAGAGAGCUGCGGGGAAAAUAAACCCAUGAAGCAAAUGGAGUAUCAAAAGGGUGCUUAGCUCUUCCAGCAAUAUUAUUCAUCGGUUCAUCUCACAGCCUUUCAGAAAGGAGCACCAUUCCGACCAUCUCAGAGAAGUAGUUAUCUUGGACUGUGGAUACACACCGGUACCCUGGUUCACUCACGGCACAGUAAAUCAUGCUGCAGCAGGGCUUUCAGAAAGGUGUCAGCUGAUGCCCAUUAGAGACCAGCCAGACGGUGAGGUACCAUAAUGCCUCAGCAGGAGCCACAGGAGCAUUAUCUCUGGAUGUACAACUAGGUAUCCGCUUUGAAAAAGUCAUGACCUAACUGUCUCAGUGUUAGAUCUGAAAGUAAUAAGCCCCAAAAGUGCUCCUACCUGGUGUUUCCUUUUAUAACUGAGACAUGCCUCUAACAUGGCCAUUAAAUCGGUUUUGUGUGUGACAAACUAAUUUUAUCAAGGAAUGACAUAUAAUUUCUUGGUGGAUACUUGCUAUGAUGCUGCAGCCCAUGUCCAUGUCAUCCACCUACUUCCAGAAGAGGGGUUGUGGCCACCAGCAGCAGCACCUUCUGCACCCCACAGCAGCUGGGCUGAGUAACUUCCCUUCCUCCAGGAGAGGCAAGAAGAUAAGAGAGACGUGAGGUUUCCCACGAAAGCCACGUCGGCUGCUCCGGAGCCUUCCCUGGUGGUGCCGUUCCAGGUGGCUGAUCUUUCACUUCUUGUCUCAAGAACUGGACUGGGCUUGACAACCUCCCAUUCCCCAGGACCUACAGGAGCUGCAGUUAAUUAAUCUUUUCUUCUUUCAAAGGGAAUUUCACAGCAUUAUGUUGGGGAAGUCCAAGAACAGACCAGUAAAGCUGAGUAAGGUUGGAGAAUUGAAUCCUUCGAGGAAGAUCCUCGCAACUCUGCAAAGAUACGGAUAUAGUUGGAGGGAUGAACGAGGCGGUCGGUGUGUGGGCUGUCUGUUCAGAAGACCCAGGAGGAGGUGGCUGCUCCAUGGCAGACAUACAGACAUGUACGUCUGAAGACCAACAGAAGACCAGCUGGUGGGAGGCAGGAUCGUACAGACGACUUUUCCACAAAUGGCACAGACACGGUACUAGAAACGCAGGAAGAUUGAUAUUUGGAAAAAUGAUGGACUUCAAAAGUAACUUUGGAUUCUCUGACCUGCUUCACUAAUGCACACUGGUGUAAAACUAAGGUGGGUGGAAAGUGCAAUUCGCAGAGAAGGAAAGGUGGAUGCAUGUCCUGAAGCUUCAUGACACCAACCAUGACCCCUCAGCCAAGCACUCUGGUUGCUGGAGCUGUCUCCUCCUCUACCAACCUGUUAAGCCUGGCAAACCUAAAACGUGGCACAUAAAGUUUUCAUAGCUGCGUUAGGCUGCAGAAGACUUCCUGGCCCAGAUUCCAACCCCUGACACCUCCAGUUCACCUGCCAAGAGCUCCUGAUGCCAAACACGGUGACAGUCUUCAAUCCACUGUGCCUUCCAGGCUCACAGCUUGGUCAAGGCAACCAACCUUCGGUGCAAAAGGGUUCUUAAAGAAAGGAAAAGUGCAAAAGAUGGAGCCUGAGAGAAACAUCUAUGGGAGAUGAAGGAGAAAAUCCUGGAGUUUUGUAUUAUUCACUUCACUGAGUACAGCUGAAUUCCUGAAAACUUCUAUAAGUGAGUAAAAUAAGAGAGUGAGAAUGGGCAUGAGGAAGUGCUCCAUCUGCGUCCCGUCCCCUCUGUCCCCAGACUGGAUCAACUAUACUUCUGCUCUGUCUGAAAAGAUAUUUAUCUGCUCUGUUCCUGCAGGCUGGAAUAUUGGACACGUCUUACAAGUGUUUGAAUGUUGCUUUCCCCUUUCAGGAUGAUUAUCUGUCCUCUAUUGUAAGAAGUUCCGGCCACCUGGAACCUGAAAAGGCCUUUACACCAGUAAAUCUGUUACCUGCUCUCGUGCCCAUAGGGUCUGAGACAAGCCAAUGAAAGACCAUGAGACUCUUUCUAACAAUAUCACUGGCCUAAAUUGUCAUGGGAUCCUUUCACUGCAUGUAUUGAGGGAUAGAAAAGUUCUUCAGGAAUUUAGACUAAUAGGUGGAUGUAGCAUGAAAAGACAGACAAGGAUGGAAAAAAUAGCUACACUGGUCGCAUGCAGCAAACAAAUGUUUAUGUUUAAAGAUGACCACUGCCAGCAUGAGCAACUUUUGCCUCUCUGAGCUUGGAGUUCAUAAUGCCAUUUGAGCAUUGUAAGCCCUCGAGUACUGAAACAAGGUGAACAUUCAGCUCCAGAAAUUUCAA